UCGCGAUCGGUAGAAAAUUGUUUCGAAGUAUUAUAUUUACAUAAAAAUUGAUCGAUCUACGGGAUCUAAUAGAGAUAGCUAGAGAUAGGGAGAUUAAGUAAAAGAAAGAAAAAGAGAUAGAGAUAUUAGAAAUUUGUCCGAUUGAUUUGAACGUUUGAUUUUAUUCGUAUUAUACAAUCGUACGAUUCGAACGGAUCAUCUCGAUUCUCAUUAUUUUAUUUUACAUACUUUACAUAUAUACAUAUACGUAUAUGUAUAUAUAUAUAUAUACAUAUGUAUAUAUAAGAGCGAAUUAUAUGUUAAUUAAAACGUCAUGCUAAAUUGCGAUAAUCAAGAUGUGUAAUUAUGUCGACUUUUGGCUCGAUGAACAGGACUUUACGAGAACGGCCAGUGUACAUUGAUAAUGUUUAGUUUAUCGAUCGAUCUAUCGAUCAUCAGGACGAGUUGUAACGUGAUCGAAUGACGAACGUAUAGCCUUUGUUGUUUUAUCGUCAACGACAUUUGUGUGAUUUUUUCUUGUGUAUCAUUGAUUCGAGGAACAUGUGUCGCGUGUGAUAUGUUUACCCUAGUUAUUUAAUUUAACGUCAUUCAGUGAUGUAUCGAAGGAUUCAAGGAUCAUCGAGGGAAUGAACUUGACUUAUCUCGACUUGUCUCGAUCCAGCUUCGGCAAAAGAAUGAGUGGAAGCAGCGACGAAGGCGAGUCGAUAUCAGGAACGACAAGCGGAAGUACCACAGGAGGAGGAGGAGGUG